UCAGACGAUGCGUCAUGCAUAUCAAUAAGCGGAGGAAAAGAAACUAACUAGGAUUCCCUCAGUAACGGCGAGUGAAGCGGGAAGAGCUCAAAUUUGAAAUCUUCAAGGUUCUACCUUGACGAAUUGUAGUUUAAAGAAGUGUUUUCUGUUGGAGUUUUGGUAAAAGUUCUCUGGAAUAGGACAUCAUAGAGGGUGAGAAUCCCGUAUUUGACCGUUAUUUCUAGCUUUGUGAUACACUUUCAAAGAGUCGGAUUGUUUGGGAAUGCAGUCCAAAAUGGGUGGUAAAUUUCAUCUAAAGCUAAAUAUUGGCGAGAGACCGAUAGCGAACAAGUACCGUGAGGGAAAGAUGAAAAGAACUUUGAAAAGAGAGUUAAACAGUACGUGAAAUUGUCAAAAGGGAAGCGUUUGACACCAGUGUUGUUUUCUCGAAAAUCAAUUAAAAAAGGCAGGAUUUUGUGUUGUAUUGACUUUAUCAGCUUUCUGCACUCUUUUCUUGUCUUUUUUUAAUGCACUUUUCGUUUAACAAGUCAACAUCAAUUUCUUUUGUUGUAAAAGGGUCAUUGGAAGGUGGCUUUCUUUUCGGAGAAAGUGUUUAUAGCCUUUGGCCUCUGCAAUCGGAGAGAUUGAGGUCUGCAGCGUAGAUCCUUCGGGGUUAGAUACAUUUGUGCUAAGUUAUAGCCUUUCAUAGACAACUUGUUGACUAUGAUCAGUCAUGUAGCUUACUCGCUUAUGCUAUUUUACCUACGCUUAGGAUGUUGAUCUACAGAGCGAGAGU
rnacentral:rRNA from 1 species